AAAAUAUUUCUCUGGCUAUUGGUAAGGAUAUAGCUGAUGUUACUACAUGAUGAGCUCUGUACAACCCGAUAAUGUUCACAACUGACAGCAAUAAACCAAAGUUGACAUGCCUGAUGUUUACACCCCCCCCCCCCCCCCAGCGCUGGCAUUUGUAAGACGGGCAGCUUCAUCGUGACUGAUGGUAUGGUGGACAAGAUCUACACCGGACACAAAGCGGAAAGGUUUGGCUUCGUUGGAAAGUCCAAGAGCAGCGUCCGCAGCUCUUCCAGACGAAUGUGAGUCGGGGCGCAGCCCCAAAACCUCUUUUGCACCUUGUCGAUGCAGUAUGCGUUGAUCUACCAGGCGCCAAAAUGCCUAACUCGAACAGACUAACGCUUACUGCCGAAUCCUAACUCUAAUCAAAACCCCUAACCCUGAUUCUCCCGCCAACUAACUCGCCCCCAAACCCCAAGAAACGGGUGUCCAAACUUGGUCUUCAAGGACUGCUGUCCUGCCUGGUUUUCCAUCUCUCCCAGGAGCAACGCGCCUGAUUCAAAUAAUCAGGAUCGUUCAAAUGCUGGCUGAUGAGCUGAUCAUCUGAAUCUGGUGUGUUGCACCCGACGGAGCUGGAAAACGGGCAGAAAAGUGGCCCUCAAGCCCCGGAGUUGGACAUGCCUACCCUCACACCCCAAUCCUCAUGCUCAACCAACACCUAACCUCGAACCUCAUCACCACUCCCCCAUCCCCCAUAAGAGGAUGCUGCAGUUUCUUGUAUACUUACUUGUAACACGAACCCCACGCCAACUUCGAACACCCUUGAUCUGUAUUCCUCAGUUUGCAGUGACGAGGUUUGACCAGCAGAGGGCAGCUAUCGCUGCUUGCUGUGCAGGGCCAAAGGGGCUUUCGCAUUUUACAGUGAAGAACUCUAACUUCGACGCCUAAAUUCUGUAACCCGAACCCCUGACCCUAUUCUUAAACCUAACCCCAAUCGCCAGACUCCCCAACAGUCGUAGGCCACCUUCAACAUUGACGUGAGUGGUAGAUUGAUAAUUGCUCGAUUUUCUUCCGAGUUUUCCUUGAACAGGGUUUCGCCAUAAAGAACAAAUUCUCAGCAGCACAAGGUCCAAAGAGGACACGAUGGCUGAUCUCUGGAGGAUGAUUUUGGAGCGCGAGGUUGUCAUUCUGGCGCACCUGAAGGAAGUGGCAAGAGAAAAAUGGAGGAAUAGUCAAAGCGACGGCGGAGAAUGAGCUUUCCAAGGGCUCUGAAGUUGCAAUUUGAAACAAAAUGAAAGAUGUCCAUUGCCAUGUAGGACGUGUGUGACAGUUGCUGUCACUGGCUAGAUCGGGGCUGCUGGACCUACGGGCACAUGCGCGUGGCAGUGGAGGACUCGGACGUGCUGGUGGAUUACACCAUACGCAAGUUCUACGUCCAACACAUCAGAAGCAUCGAAUGGCUCGUUCUGGGCAACAAUUUUCACUUCACACUUUGUUCAUCUCGUAGCAAUCGAAUGAUGCCGCGUGUGGUCACGCCGCUCCAUUUCACCAACUGGCCCAACUUCGGCGUGCCCUUCUCUCCCAUCGGCAUGCUCAAGUUCCAAGAAAGUCAAUGGCGCUCAAGCCGCCCGUCGGGGUCCACUGCAGACGGGCAGGUUCGUCGUGAUUGAUCGUAUGAUGGACAAGAUUUACGCCGGACACAAAGCGGUAGUUUGGAAAUCCCAGAGCAGCGUCCGCAGCUCUUCCAGUCGAAUGUGAGUCGGGGCGCAGCCCCAAAACCUCUUUUUCUCCUUGUAGAUGCAGUAUGCAUUGCUUUACCAGGCGCCAAAAUGCCUAACUCGAACAGACCAACGCUUGCUGCCGAAUCCUAACUCUAAUCAAAACCCCUAACCCUGAUUUCUCCCGCCAACUCACCCCCGAGCCCCAAGAAACGGGUGUCCAAACUUGGUCUUCAAGGACCACUGUCCUGCCCGUUUUUCAUCUCUCCCAGGAGCAACGCGCCUGAUUCAAAUAAUCGGGAUCGUUCAAAUGCUGGCUGAUGAGCUGAUCAUCUGAAUCCGGUGUGUUGCACCCGUCGGAGCUGGAAAACGGGCAGAAAAGUGGCCCUCAAGCCCCGGAGUUGGACACGCCUACCCUCACACCCCAAUCCUCAUGCUCAACCAACACCUAACCUCGAACCUCAUCUCCACUCCCCCCAUAAGAGGAUGCCGCAGUUUCUUGUAUACUUACUUGUAACACGAACCCCACACCAACUUCAAACACCCUUGAUCUGUAUUCCUCUCAGUUUGCAGUGACAAGGUUUGACCAGCAGAGGGCAGCUAUCGCUGCUUGCUGUGCAGGGCCGAAGGGGCUCUCACAUUUUACAGUGAAUAACUCAAACUUCGACGCCUAAAUUCUGUAACACGAACCCCUGACCCUAUUCUUAAACCUAACCCCAAUCGCCAGACUCCCCAACACUCGUACGCCACCUUCAACAUUGACGUGAGUGGUAGAUUGAUAAUUGCUCGAUUUUCUUCCAAGUUUUCCUUGAACAGGGUUUCACCAUAAAGAACAAAUUCUCAGCAGCACAAGGUAAGUUGAUGUUCACUCGAUCCGAGUUACUUUGCAAAAAACAAACACGAUUUUUGUUGUGCCAGGUCCAAAGAGGACACGAUAGCUGAUCUCUGGAGGAUGAUUUUGGAGCGCGAGGUUGUCAUUCUGGCGCACCUGAAGGAAGUGAGUGGUUGUCAUGCAGCGAAACGGGUGGAAAAACGGCGGCAUAAAAGGGACUUCUGACCCCCCCCCAAUCCUCCCCAAAAUUUAAUUUGGGUCGCACCCUAAUUUUCUUCAGUUAAUCUAAAAUUCCUUGCCAUUGCAAGUGGCAAGAGAAAAAUGGAGGAAUAGUCAAAGCGAUGGUGGAGAAUGAACUUUCCAAGGGCUCUGAAAUUGCAAUUUGAAACAAAAUGAAAGAUGUCCAUUGCCAUGUAGGACGUGUGUGACGGUUGCUGUCACUGGCUGGAUCGGGGCUGCUGGACCUACGGGCACGUGGCAGUGGAGGACUCGGACGUGCUGGUGGAUUACACCAUACGCA